rnacentral:rRNA from 1 species
CCUACGGGGGGCAGCAGUGGGGAAUAUUGGACAAUGGGCGAAAGCCUGAUCCAGCCAUGCCGCGUGUGUGAAGAAGGUCUUAGGAUCGUAAAGCACUUUAAGUUGGGAGGAAGGGCAGUAACCUAAUACGUUAUUGUUUUGACGUUACCGACAGAAUAAGCACCGGCUAACUCUGUGCCAGCAGCCGCGGUAAUACAGAGGGUGCAAGCGUUAAUCGGAAUUACUGGGCGUAAAGCGCGCGUAGGUGGUUCGUUAAGUUGGAUGUGAAAUCCCCGGGCUCAACCUGGGAACUGCAUUCAAAACUGUCGAGCUAGAGUAUGGUAGAGGGUGGUGGAAUUUCCUGUGUAGCGGUGAAAUGCGUAGAUAUAGGAAGGAACACCAGUGGCGAAGGCGACCACCUGGACUGAUACUGACACUGAGGUGCGAAAGCGUGGGGAGCAAACAGGAUUAGAUACCCUAGUAGUC